rnacentral:tRNA from 1 species
GCGCCCGUAGCUCAGCUGGAUAGAGUGUCUGACUACGAAUCAGAAGGUCGUGAGUUCGAAUCUCGCCGGGCGCACCA